GAUCUGAGUAUAUCAAUAUUACCUUGUUCAGAACUUAAAGAGAAAUCUUGAGUUUAUGGACUUCAGGGGGAGUAUGGUCACAAGGCUGAAACUUAAAGGAAUUGACGGAAGGGCACACCAGGAGUGGAGCCUGCGGCUUAAUUUGACUCAACACGGGAAAACUUACCAAGACCGAACAGUAGAAGGAAUGACAGAUUAAGAGUUCUUUCAUGAUUUAUUGGGUAGUGGUGCAUGGCCGUUCUUAGUUGGUGGAGUGAUUUGUCAGGUUAAUUCCGGUAACGAACGAGACUGAAACCUAUUAAUUAGUUUUCUGCCUAUAAGACAGAAAUGUUCGCAAGAACAGGUGCGUAAGUACCACUUCUUAAAGGGACACAUUUCAAU
rnacentral:rRNA from 1 species